UACGUAGGGGGCAAGCGUUAUCCGGAAUUACUGGGUGUAAAGGGAGCGUAGACGGUAAUGUAAGUCUGGAGUGAAAGGCGGGGGCCCAACCCCCGGACUGCUCUGGAAACUAUGUUACUGGAGUGCAGGAGAGGUAAGCGGAAUUCCUAGUGUAGCGGUGAAAUGCGUAGAUAUUAGGAGGAACACCAGUGGCGAAGGCGAGAACUUAGGCUAUCACUGACGCUUAGGCUCGAAAGUGUGGGGAGCAAAUAGG
rnacentral:rRNA from 1 species